AGGACGAACGCUGGCGGCGUGCCUAACACAUGCAAGUCGAGCGGGGACAUUGCGACGGAGGCGAAGUACUCGUACGGAGUCAAAGAUGUAAUGUUCUAGCGGCGGACGGGUGAGUAACGCGUGAGCAACCUGUCCCUUACAGGGGGAUAACACAGCGAAAGUUGUACUAAUACCGCAUAAGACCACAGGAUGACAUCGUCCAGGGGUCAAAGGAGCAAUCCGGUAAGGGGUGGGCUCGCGUCCGAUUAGAUAGUUGGUGAGGUAACGGCCCACCAAGUCGACGAUCGGUAGCCGACCUGAGAGGGUGAUCGGCCACAUUGGGACUGAGACACGGCCCAAACUCCUACGGGAGGCAGCAGUGGGGAAUAUUGGGCAAUUGGGGGGAAACCCUGACCCAGCAACGCCGCGUGAGGGAAGAAGGUUUUCGGAUCGUAAACCUCUGUCCCAGGUGAAGAGGAAGAGACGGUAGCCUGGGAGGAAGCCCCGGCUAACUACGUGCCAGCCGCCGC
rnacentral:rRNA from 1 species